CCUUAAAUCUUAUAAAGAACACUGCAACCCUCUUUUCCUCUGUAUCCUCUCGUUCGUCUCUUCCCCUCGUUCGUCUCUUCCCCUCGUUCGAUCGAUUUCUUCCAAAUACAUAACAAUGAUCGAUAUUAAAUGCAAUUGUGGAGCCACUGCAGUGAUUCGCACAUCUUAUAGCAAAAGAAACCCUGGGAAACUCUAUUAUGCUUGUACAAUAAAGGGACCAUUAUGCAAGUUCAUAGGAUGGGUGAAUGAUUAUGAUCAGGACUGUGAUUGUAUGGCGUUUAGGAUGAAACUUGAAGAACAAAAUCGCAAAUUGAAGCUUUACCUAGUUAUUAGCUGGGGUUUUUUUGUUUCAGUCCUUAUAUAUAAAGUGUAGGUUAAGUAAUGAAGUUGUUAGUAUUUUGGUAUGUGUAUAUUGUAAUGGAGACUCUUUGUAAUGUUAUUUGUAUUAACAAAAAAAUUUCAAUUUUAGUUGCAAUAUAUUGUGUAAUCAUAAUGUGGUGUUA